GAUCUAAGGUAUUUCUUGCUGGAACAGGAAAUAGUAUCACCAGACCAGACACAGUCAUCCUAAAAUACACUGACAUUUCUUGUCGUGAGCAGCUGACAGAAAGGGAAAGGAAGGGCUUCCGAGAACCGGCUUCGGCUGCAUGGAUCCCAGUGUGGGUGUAACCCAGUGGAGGGGCUGCAUAGCAACGUUAAAACAUCUCAGAAAACCCAAGUACAGGCUGGAUGCUGUCCAGAAGAGGUCCUCCAUAUUUCCUCGAGAAAACAGCAACUAAACAGAAGCUUCUGCAUCCUGUCAAUCACGUUAAGAAGUAGAGUUCUAGAAAAAAAGGCACCCUAAGAAGUCAUCUGGUAUAAUUAUUGAUCUCCAAACAAAUCUGUGUCUGCCUUCUGACAGUCACACACAGCUGCACAAGGGCCAAACUUGAUGGAAUCACUGCUCAAAUACCUGGUGCUCACCCUCCAGGCCCGCACCACCCCUUGAACGAAAGGUCUCCUUUCUGGUCCUCUCUUUCCAAUCCACCGACUUCCCCAUAACUGUGGCAGCACUGCUUCGGUUUGUGUGUGGUGCUGGGGAUCAAAAUUAAGGCUUUCCACUUGCUGCACAAGUAAUCUACCACUGAGCCACAGCUUUUUAAAUCUUUAUUAUUGUCAUCAUCAUUAUUAAUUUUGGGGCUGGGAUAGGGCUGAGGGAUUGAGACAUGGUCUUACUAUUCAGCUCCGUCUGACUUCAGACUCUUCCUGCAUCCUGAAGAUAUAUAGGCAAACCCACAAUAGCCAGCUCAAAAAUAAAUUCUUGGAGAUUCUUGAAAAUUUUAAAAAGUUAUUCCCCUUCUAUGGCUGUCCUCUCACCUUUCCCAUGAUCAGAUUCUGGACACUUCUGCUCUUAUCCUUCAUUCUCUCCUGGAUUUAAACAUCUCAUCUUGAGCUAGUACUAUCGACACAGGUGCAGUUCUUACAUUUUACAAAAAAAGGAAAAAAAAGUAAUUGUUUGGUGACAAAGAUACAUUAUGCAUAUUGCUCUCUUUACAACCGCCAACCAAAUAAAGGAGCCCUCCUGAGCCAGCAGGCAGCAGCCUGGGUCAAGGCCUGGGCCUUGGUUGGGUUCAGCUGUGGACAUCAUCAUUCGCGGGGCACACUGGCCUCUACCAGCUGGAACUGGAAUGACAACAGAAAUGGAGCGCUUACAGUAGGAUAUGUUCAGUUCACCGGGAAAGAGAAACGAGGGCAAGGGGAGCAGGGAAAGAGCUGACAGCCGACGAGCACAAAAAUGCUCUCACAGAAAAAAGGAGAUUUGCCCAAGAAGAUGAUCACAUUGAAAAAUCGAAUCUCCUCAGGCAAAGCAAACUGUAUGCCAGGAAAGGUCGGCCAGCCCUCCCACAUUGCAGUGAUUGCAACCAACUAUUUGUUUUAAAGUGUGUUCCCUGGUGUCUGUGUUUUCAGAGUCUACUCUGCCUCAUGUAUAAAAACUACUAAAGGGGGAGGGAGGCAGAAACAUCUUUUCUUAUUCUUUGUCUGGGAAUAUUAACUGAUUCUCAGGUAUUCAAGUAUGCUAUUUGUACAGAAUCCAAAGCACAUUCUUUCCCCUACAUACCAGUCGAUGGUGAAACACCCACAUGCUGAAUGGCAAGGGAAAAUGUGCUGGACCUUAACAGCUGCCGGGUGCAAACAGGUGGCAUCAGAAAUUUUGCCCAAUUCUUGUGUUGUUAUUCAUCCAGCAUAUUCUGGAUCUUGCCUCAAGUAGCCUCUGAGUUCACUUAACCUGGGAGAAGGGAUGCUGUGUACACUCUUAUGAGAGUUUGCAUCUCAUAGGCUUAAUAAAAACCCGAGGGGUGAAGCAAUGUGGAAACAACUGGAGGAACUGACAGGCAUUUCACGUCGAGUGACAACCCUCAGCAUAGGAAGUAUCGGAUAGUGGGCAAGGAACAUCCGCGGAGCUGCUCCCUCUGAAAAACAGCUUUCUCCAAGAUGAAACCAACGAAUUAGUGGACCCUUAUAAAGCUGCAGAAAAAAGACAGGUUCAAUCUAUAAUAUAUGCAUGAGCAUACAUAGCCAGAUGUAAGUAGACUCUAAGAAUCUAGGAGGGAGAACAAGGCUGUAAAACACAAGGUAAGAGGAGGGAUGAGAUUGGGCAAAAGGACACAUAAUUCAUGAACGAGAAGAAUAAUCUGUGAGGGGGAUGACUGACAGCGAGGGGGAACAGAGGGAACAGGGGCUGGGAAGGAUGAGGGAAGGAGAAUCGUAAAAUCACGUUGUAUUUUUAAAUGGCAUCUUGGUAUCUAAAACAUCACAUGCUGGUUUAAAUGUAUUUGUUUAAUAAUAUGUUUAAUAAUUAUAAAAGCAUUUGUUUAAUUUUAAAAAUAGAAGGUCAGUUUCUGUUUGACUCUUGAUAAGAAGUCCUGGUCACAAUUAAUAGUGCUACUCACAUGGGUGGUCCUAGAGGAGAGCUUUAAGGACUUCAGCCCACUGAAUCCUCGUAACGCUUCUGCAAUCAUUUCUCUGCUUCACAGACAAAGGAUUGGAAGACCAGAGGUGAGAGCAAAUUUGUGUAGGGUGACGUGGCUUGUUAAAGUGGCGGGGGGGGGGGGGUUGUGAAAUGUGAAUUAUUUGUAAAGCACUUAUCCUAAGUAUAGACAUGACCAACAUGAGAUCAGAGAUAGGAAAAUCACCAACACAGAGAUCAAGGGCUCUGAAGUCAAAUGACAAGCACUGGGGAGAUGUCCCAGCAGUUAACAGUACUUCUACUCCUACAGAGGAUCCAAGUUCAGUUCCCUGUGCCUACGUGGUGACUCACAACUAUCUGCAACUCCAAUUCUAAGGGAUCCACUGCCUCCUCUGACCUCUUCAGGCCACAGCAUGCGUGUUGUGCAAAUAUUUGAACUCAGACACAUACACAUAUACCUAAAAGUAAGCAAAUGAACAAACAAAUAAAUAAUAUUCAAAAUCCAAGAGAAGACCCCACCUCUUUGUCGUUUGAUUUUUCGAUAUUCUAUCAAGGUCAGAUGUUUAAAAAGAGAGUCUGACAACUUGCCCUGUGGACCAUACAUUAGUGUUCAAAAUCUAUUUUUGUUAAGUGUAUAUUAAUUAUACGUAGUAAUGGACUUCCUUAAGAUAUUUUAGCACUAGCUCAUAAGGUACUUUGAUCAUAUAUGAGCGUGCGUAAGCACGCAUACACACACACACCCCUCUCAGGUCUCCUUUUGCCCUUUGCUUUCUAAUUGUUUCUUCACGCUCCAGUGCCUACAUUCACAUUCCGUCGUUCUGUCUCCUCUGAUUGUUCCAUCAUCCCUUUUAACUACCCAUAUGUUAAGAUGUUAAGCUCCAUCUUGCAAGCUUGGAGAAGUUGCAACAUCAUGGAACAUCAUGGAAGUUCAGAGGAGACAAGGAGACAUGGCUGCUUCACUAACCCUAAUUAUAAACUUCAGCCAGAAGACUUCCCUGUUUCUUUGGCUUCCUUUCACCCCCUGGCUUGAUUUCCAGCCCUUGUACCCCUAGGGCAGGAUUAAGGACCAAGCAGUAGGUCACUGUAUCCUGAAAAGACACUGAAGCUGCGGGCUAGACAGAAAUUCUAGUUCUAAGAAGCCGUUCCAGCGAUGUCAAGGCCAAACAUCCCCUCUCCCUUUUCCUUUGGUUCUGGCAGAGGUCACAACACAGCCUCUUCAAACAUCCAUACAGAUUCUAUCUGUUAAACGACAGAUACAAAGAGCAGACCCUUUUUUCAGAUAUUCAGACUUGAGUAGAAAUUUAUACUGCUGGCCUCCAGCCCAUCACUGACAAAACAUUUUCUCUCAGCCAGAAAAUAGUGGCAACUCCCUUCUCCGGCUCUGCUUAUGUAUUCAAAGAGUGCAUAGGUACCUGUCUCAGGGCCAGCCUGUCAGCUACCUUCUCUCUUUUGCUAGAAGCCCACACUUGCCGAGGAAGUGCAUAAUUGCUGUUUUAAUGCUGAUUGAAUUCUCCUACUAUUAGUCCCUGAACUCUGACAGUCCCAUCGUACUUCUGCUUUUUAAUAAUUAAUUCUAUGCUGACUGUUACUGAUUAGGACUAAAUUUUACCCCAGGAUGCCCAGGGAAUAAAUGUUUUUAUUAAGAGUACAAGAAAGGGAAAGCCAUUCUGAAAAAUUGAAAAGAUUCUUGUGAUUUCCCUCUGGAGACUCAUUGAGCCCAGUGCAGAGCUGACUUGUGGUUAUUAUAUGAUCAGCUGAAGCUAAUCUGUGUGGCUGCCGCCUGCCAUGUCCCGCCAUUUGUAUGUGAUCUCUCAUCUACUAAUACAUAAUGUAUAGAUCUGGAUAUGGGCGAAUCAAUUAUCCUGCUUCAAGGAAGCAAACACAAACUAAUGGAAACAUUAGCCUGAGACAUCCAGAAAAUUGGAGAAUUGAUGCCUCAGAUGUUUGUGUUUUACAGGGGUGCUGAGUGCGUGCCAAAGAAGAGGGAGGCGGAGAACGGAGUGCAGAGAAGGCAGAAGAGGGGAAGGGGAUACUCUCAUCAUCAGAGAAUGGACUGUCUGGCUCCUCUACAUAAAAGACAUCUGUCCAUAACAACAAAAUUCCAUGUAAAACAACACUCAGCUGAUUCCGGGAAUCUCAGCCUACUCGUAUUAUUACUUUAUCAGAUACAACAACAUGUGUACUUAAAUCUUUUGAGCCAAACCAAGGAUCAGCAUGAACAUACUCUGGAGAAAUUAAAACCAGUCUAAAACCACAAUCCUGGAGAACUUAUACAACAAUGUGGACACUAAGAGAGGCUUACAUAGAUCUAAUCUACAUGGGAAGUAGAAAAAGACAAGAUCUCUUGAGUAAGU